CUCUUCAGCCCCCGCCGGGCUCCGCUGAGCGGGGCUUAACCCCGGAGCUGCCGGAGCAGAAGGUGCCGGGACCCCCGGGACCCCUGCCUCGGAGAGCUCGGGGCCACCUCUGCAGAGCUUUGUCACAAAAGCCACGAGUCCCUCGCCAUGUCCCGAGUGAGGGAAUUGAGCCCAGCCCGGGCAGGACUGAGCCGCGCCCGGCCGGGUUUAACCCGACGGGAGCCCUUGAGCAGCUUUUGGGGACACAAAGCCACGCGUGUGUCCCUGUGCCACCCGCACGGGGACACGGCCCGGGUCCCCUGAGCCACCGGGAGAGGAGAGGAGAGGAGAGGAGAGGAGAGGAGAGACGCGGCCCCGCAUCCCGAGGGGGAUGGGAGGCACAGUGCCCCGGUCCUUCACAUUAAUCCAGAGGCCUGGCCGGCGGGCAGCGAGGCUGCUGAAGCUCGCCCGGGCUCUGUAAUGAUCCCACCAGAGCAGCGAGAGCCCGGCCCGGCCGUGCCGAGGGAAAGGCCGAGCUCUUUUUCCUUCCCGGGCCACCGCAGCCCCGGGAUGGCGAGCGGGGACCCUGCGGCACCUCCAGCCCGAGCUGCGGGCGAGCGGAGCCCUGGAGGGUCCCAGGACUGCCCCGCACGGCCCCAAAUGGCCCCAAAUCCAUCCCCUCCUGGCUCAGCGUGUUCCGGCUGGGACUUUUUGCAGAGCAAAACAAACGAAAAUUAAUUUAGGGGGAAAAAAAAAAACAACAAACCAAAAAACAACAACAAAAAAUACCCCAAUACCGAAAAACCCAAACCAGCCAUCGAAAAGAAACUUCAGCCUUUCGGGGAAAUUCUCAAAAGUCAAUUGCAACCUCCGCCCGCCGCCGAAACUGGACAUAUGAGCAGAGGGUUUCAACUGGAGAUGGAAAACAGAGAGGAAAACGAGAGUUCCACAGGAAAGAAAACAGCGUCAGAUAUUUGAACAUUUCCAGUCUGCACCGUCAGCCCCGCUCCCAGCUCGAGGAGCAGCAGCGCUGAUCGUCCCCGGAGGAAUCCCCCGGAUUUUUUUUCCCCUGUAACUACCGCUCCCAAGUGUGGCUGUACACACACAGCCGCUCACGCACGCAAAUCCUAUAAAUGCUAAUAAAACAGAUUCCUCAGGA